rnacentral:rRNA from 1 species
CCGAAAGCUAUUUAGGUAGCGCCUCGUGAAUUCAUCUCCGGGGGUAGAGCACUGUUUCGGCUAGGGGGCCAUCCCGGCUUACCAACCCGAUGCAAACUGCGAAUACCGGAGAAUGUUAUCACGGGAGACACACGGCGGGUGCUAACGUCCGUCGUGAAGAGGGAAACAACCCAGACCGCCAGCUAAGGUCCCAAAGUCAUGGUUAAGUGGGAAACGAUGUGGGAAGGCCCAGACAGCCAGGAUGUUGGCUUAGAAGCAGCCAUCAUUUAAAGAAAGCGUAAUAGCUCACUGGUCGAGUCGGCCUGCGCGGAAGAUGUAACGGGGCUAAACCAUGCACCGAAGCUGCGGCAGCGACGCUUAUGCGUUGUUGGGUAGGGGAGCGUUCUGUAAGCCUG